CCAGGUUGAGCCCGGGGCUUUCACAUCCAACUUAACAAACCACCUACGCGCGCUUUACGCCCAGUAAUUCCGAUUAACGCUUGCACCCUCUGUAUUACCGCGGCUGCUGGCACAGAGUUAGCCGGUGCUUAUUCUGUCGGUAACGUCAAAACAGCAAGGUAUUAACUUACUGCCCUUCCUCCCAACUUAAAGUGCUUUACAAUCCGAAGACCUUCUUCACACACGCGGCAUGGCUGGAUCAGGCUUUCGCCCAUUGUCCAAUAUUCCCCACUGCUGCCUCCCGUAGGAGUCUGGACCGUGUCUCAGUUCCAGUGUGACUGAUCAUCCUCUCAGACCAGUUACGGAUCGUCGCCUUGGUGAGCCAUUACCCCACCAACUAGCUAAUCCGACCUAGGCUCAUCUGAUAGCGCAAGGCCCGAAGGUCCCCUGCUUUCUCCCGUAGGACGUAUGCGGUAUUAGCGUUCCUUUCGAAACGUUGUCCCCCACUACCAGGCAGAUUCCUAGGCAUUACUCACCCGUCCGCCGCUGAAUCAAGGAGCAAGCUCCCGUCAUCCGCUC
rnacentral:rRNA from 1 species